rnacentral:rRNA from 1 species
GAGUGAACGCUGGCGGUAGGCCUAACACAUGCAAGUCGAACGGCAGCACAGUAAGAGCUUGCUCUUACGGGUGGCGAGUGGCGGACGGGUGAGGAAUACAUCGGAAUCUACUUUUUCGUGGGGGAUAACGUAGGGAAACUUACGCUAAUACCGCAUACGACCUACGGGUGAAAGCAGGGGAUCUUCGGACCUUGCGCGAUUGAAUGAGCCGAUGUCGGAUUAGCUAGUUGGCGGGGUAAAGGCCCACCAAGGCGACGAUCCGUAGCUGGUCUGAGAGGAUGAUCAGCCACACUGGAACUGAGACACGGUCCAGACUCCUACGGGAGGCAGCAGUGGGGAAUAUUGGACAAUGGGCGAAAGCCUGAUCCAGCCAUACCGCGUGGGUGAAGAAGGCCUUCGGGUUGUAAAGCCCUUUUGUUGGGAAAGAAAAGCAGCAGGUUAAUACCCCGCUGUUCUGACGGUACCCAAAGAAUAAGCACCGGCUAACUUCGUG